UGGCCUCCACGUUCUUGCGCCAGUCACCCACUUCCACAGGGCGCUCCUGCAGGGAGACGCAGGGGUCAGGGGUCCCGGCAGCACAGAGCCCAGGGAUUCUCGGGACGGCGCAUCUGAGCAGCGCUCGAAGCUGCUCCGUGCCUGAGUGUACUUAAAUCCCAUGGGCCUUCCAAUGUGCCACAUUCCCCCACACCCAGAACAACCGUUCCAGCAGUGACCCCAGGUGCAACCUCGCCCAGGGCAUCUCCCUAGAUCCCAUUGCACUCGCCCUGUGGAGCUGCGGGAUGACCUGCCGUGUUAUUAUACAGACAGACAGACGCGGACAUGUGUCUCCAAUACCCCUACACUAAAUAGCCUCUCCAGACAUCACUCGCAGCGAUAACGGGUCAGAGUCCCAUGCAGACUCCAGUCGCAGGCUCCACAGUGGCCCCAGCUUCAGGAACAGUGCCGUGCACCAGCGAGCGGCUGGCCAUCGGAGCUCCUGACAGAUGGGCACCAGCUGGGAUGCUGCACAUGUUGGCUUCCAGCCACCACGGCAUCCCCACGAAGUGCUGAGCAGCUGGUGAAGGAGAGCAGAGAGGAUGCCGUGCCUCUGAAACCCAAGUCCGGGGCGCCUCUGGCUGGAUGGCCCCAGAGUGGCGCCAUCCAGAGCCAGUGACUACUGCUGGUAAUCUGGCUGAAGGGCUUUUGUUUGAAUGGGCUGGGGGAGCCUUGCAGGUGGCUUCUUUCCCACUAAACUACCCAGGUGUGAAUUUUUCAAUGAUCAGACGGCAGUAGGAGGUGGCAUGAUCUUGGGGAUGGGGCCAUGGAGGCCUGAGAUCUGUUCCUAGCUCUACACACCUGAUGCUUCCCCUCUUUGUGCCACAGUUUCCCAUCCUGCCCUGUGUCCACCUUGUCCAUUUAGGCUGUGAGCUCUUCGGGGCAGGGAUUCUCUUACUGUAUCUGGGCAGCACCUGGCACCAUGGGUCCCUGGUAUUGGUUUUAGGGUUGCCAACUUUCUACUUGCACAAAACCAAACACCUUUGCCCCACCCCCUGCCCCGCCCCUCAUCAGAAGCCCUGUCCAUCCCCACCCCUUCUCUGGGGCCCACCCCCGCUCACUCCACACAUACUCCUCCCUCUGUCGCUCGCUCUCCCCACCCUCAGUCACUCGCUCAUUUUCACCAGGCUGGGGCGGGGUUCCCAGCCAGUGGGAGCUGCAGAGUCAGCACUUGGGGUGGGGGCAGUGUGUGGAGCCCCCUGGCUGCCCCUACGCGUAGGAGCCGGAGUGGGGACAUGCUGCUGCUUCCGGGAGCCGCGCAGAGCCAAGGCAGGCAGGGAGCCUGCCUUAGCCCCGCUGCACCGCUGACUGGACUUUUAAUGGCUCAGUGGUGCUGACCAGAGCCACCAGGGUCCCUUUUUGACCGGGCAUUCUAGUAAAAAACCAGACACCUGGCAACCCUACUUGGUUUGGGGACCUCUAGGUGCGACUGUAAUGCAAAUAACGCUAAUAACCUAGGUGAGGUGCAUAGCAGGUAUCAAAACAAAUAACCAGUUAAUUAAGAAAUAAAGUGCAAGCCAGUGCACAAGGCACCCUCCUACCUCUCUGGUGUUGUGGAUGCAUUUUGCUUCGAUGUCGUACCGCUCCUCAUCCACGAUUUCUACCUUCUCGUGCAGCUCCCUGCACAGAUCCUGCAAGGAGAGGUCACAAAGGCCAAGCUGGGAGCUCUCUUCACUGCUCCAUCUGCUGAGCCUCCCAACCGUGGCCCUGACUUGUCACAGCAGGUACUGUGUUAAGAGCUAGGCUUUUAGCAGGCAGCAUGUUCGUGGUGCCUCCUAGAGGUGGUGUUGAGUCUCCAUCAGUCACCAGCCCUGAAAUCCCAGCGGCCAGCAUGUCCCUGACUGAGUUCCCUGGGAAACCACCUUCCCCCUCUAUCACAGUACAUGCUGGGCAGAUUCACCUUCCAGAGCCUCUGGACCCUGCCCAGAGGGACCCAUUCAUGAGUGACAGGAGGGGCCCUGCCUCAGCCAUAACAAACAGGGUGGAGACCUGAGCUGUUGUCAGACCCCUGCGCAGGUCCCCGGUGGCCCUCCUGACUCCCACUCAAGCCUACCUGCAGCUGGCUGAAGGACAGCCCGCUGGUCCGCAGUUGUGUGAUCCGCUCAGCCAGGUAUCUCUCCUUCUCCGCUUGCUUGUCCACUUGAUCUUGUUCCCAUGCUUCCUUGGCUUUGGCUAGCAUCAAACUCUGGAGCACACAGCAGACAACAACAGCCUGAGUAGAUGCACUGUGCCGUGAGCCCCCCCACCCCACCCCCAGCUAUCACCUCAGGCCAGGGGCAUAAGGCAGGGAGCUACCAAAGAGCAUGGAGAUGUUGAGCUCAGUGCCUUUGUGGUGAAGGACAGAGAAACUGCUUGUUCCUCAAACCCAUAUGGAAGGGUCUUCAGGGCCUUGUGCGUUACCUAGGGAGGUGGUAGAAUCUCCUUCCUUAGAGGUUUUUAAGGUCAGGCUUGACAAAGCCCUGGCUGGGAUGAUUUAACUGGGAAUUGGUCCUGCUUUGAGCAGGGGGUUGGACUAGAUGACCUUCUGGGGUCCCUUCCAACCCUUAUAUUCUAUGAUUCUAUGAUUCUAUGAUUCCUCAAUCCAGUGGGGUGAGGUGCAGGCACUGGUGCAACUAAAAGCAUUUCCCCCUGGUGUGUGAUAAACCGGGCACGGGGGGAGCUGCAGGAAGGAGGGUGAGAGGCUGCAGAAUCUGUGUCUGAUUCAGAGACUUCCUUGCUUUCCUUGGGGCUACGACUCCUGACUGACAUUGGCAUCACCUGGCUCUCUGCAAGCAUGUGUUUUCCCCCGUAAGCAAAAACGUUUCCCCAGAACCAUGUCCUGUCUGUGCGGUGCCCAGUGCACUGUUGGCACUAAACAACUUAUUGGUAUUAAUUAUUAUUAUUAUUAUUAACAAAGGAUGUAGGCAGCAGCACCUGCCACCCAAUUGAACAUUUAAUGCACCUUGCCCCAGGAAAAUCAGUGUGUGUCCCUGCAUAUGUUUAGGCUUGGAAGGAUUCGAUUUUUAUCGGUAAACGUCGAUUUCACCGCACACUCACAGACCGGCGAAAAAUAUUUCCAGCGAUAAUCAUCCAAGUUUUACAGCUAGGCAAAGUCAGACAGAGGCUGCCUGAGAGCUUAUUGGAGCGUGAUUUUAGGUGAUUUACUUUGUAUAUUUUGAUGCGACGUUGACAAAUUUGUGUUUUAACAACAGUUAGAAAACUUGACCUUUUUGAAUCUCAAGUGUCUACUGUCCUUAAAUCAGAGGUUUGUAAGGUCAGGCUUGACAAAGCCCUGGCUGGGGUGAUUUAGUUGGGGAUUGGUCCUGCUUUGAGCAGGGGGUUGGACUAGAUGACCUCCUGAGGUCCCUUCCAACCCUAAUAUUCUAUGAUUCUAUGAUUACUGACAGAGCCCCUCCCUAUUGUCUGACACCCCUCCAAUUGUCCCCCACUGUGAACAUUUAAAUUGAUCAAAACAGAACAAAAAAAUGCUUACAAAAUAAACAUUGAUAUUAUCCAUCAAAAUUAUAGAAAGAUAAAAAUCAAAUUCUGCCAAGCCUAUAUAUGUGACACGCUGGCUAAGCAUGCCCCUCCCACCCAGCGGCUAACAGCCUACUGUUACUGAUGGAAUUACUUCUGCACCACAAGUGGGAUAGAUGCCUGCAUUUUUAGUGCUGAAGAUCCCAGGUUCAAUCCAUGCUGAUAACUUGGGGGACAGGCGGGUGUUACAUUUCCAACUAUGAAGUUCUGAGCGGCUGAGGGAUUGUUCCAGGUUCUAGGGAUCAUGGAGGUGGGAACAGGGCUGGUUUCUUCAGAGACCCAGGAUCUUACCUGUACCCAGUGGAAAGCUGAGUUUUUCUUUCCAUAAACACUGUGGCUAGUCAUGGAAAUGGUCAUACCAUGUUUCCGCAAAGAAGCUUUUAACCUUGAUUUGCUAUCUCAGCUGGGAUAGACCCAAAGGGACUCACCUUCAACAGGAGUUUGCGUGAGGCUGUGAUCUUGGACUUUCUCUACAGAGGGAAAGAACAAAACAAAAGACAUUUUAAAUGCAAAUUCAUAACAGAAAAUGUAUGUUAAUGUCUAGAUCUCUUAAGGGGAAAAAAAAAUCCAGGAACACUUACCUCCCUGCAGUUGUUCAUUCAGACAGAAGAAACAAAGAGGGGGAAAAACAGAACAAACGAUCAAUAGACAGAAUGCAUGAAACAUCUGGAGGACUGAUGCAACUAAAGGUUACAGGUGGACUCUUUGCUACUGCAUGCAAAAUGUGCCACAGACCACAAGUGUUUCUUUGGACCAGAUCCUCAGUAGGUGUAAGUUGAUGGAGCGACACCAGUUUACAUCAGUUGAAGAUCCAACGCUUAGAUAUUAAGGCAGUAAAUAUGCGUUAUUAGUAGAAUUGUAAAGUGAUGGUAAAGGUCUCCAUGUGUAUGAAGACUUUAAUUCAAGGAACACACAGCAAUUAUAGGUAUUAAUUAAGCAAACCUCACGAUGCCCACAUAAGGUAGGUGACAUUAGAGCCAUUUUACAUGUAGGGAAACUGAGGCACGGGGAAGUUAAACAACUUGCUCUAAAUUACACCGCAAAUCGGGGGCAGAGUGGUGGGAUAAGACCAAGGAGUCCUGACUUCUAGUAAGGCACUUCUCUAGUCACUAGAUCACACAUAGUUCAUGUACAAAUACAUGCCAUUAUCUGAGCUGUGUGUACAAGUGCCAGGCUGUGUCAAUGCACUUGCAGUUUCAGUACUCAAGGGUUGGAUCUGGCUCUGUACAGUAUUCAGAUUCCUGGAGGCUAGUGGCUGGGAAGUGUGUGGCAGUGUGAAGAUAGACACUGCUCUGAGCAAUUUGACAGAUCCAGAUACUGCACCAAAGAGCAUGGAAAUUCCUUGUGUGCGGACAUUUUGCAAUUUGAGUACCUGCUCUUCGCUGGGAUGAAGUUUUGAAUAUGGCCUGUGGAAAUUCAAAACUUGCAAAAGUGUGAAAAUGCUGGGGGUUGGAAAUGGGACCAUUUCUGAGUGUAAAGGGAUGGCAUUGCACCAAGACUCGAGCCGCGCUGUGAGCAAAGAUCUCAACAUUUCACAAGUUUCCCCCCCAAAUUGGAACAUUUUCUCAAAAGCCAAAGCAAACAUGAGAUUCUCCUGUUAGUACAGCCUGGAAAUCUGCCUCCCUCCCUCUGGUGGCUGAUCCACAGAAGGCUGUUCUCAUUCGGCAACUGCUUUGAGCUGCUUCGCCCAGUCCUUUAGCUCCAGUGCUAAGGGCGUGAGCUUUCAGUGCUGAAUGGUUUGCGUUCAAACCCUGCUGUUGGUCGAAGUAGAGUCAGGUCUCUCCCACAGCUCUCCUGAGAAGCCGGAAGCUUAGGGGAGUUCAGCAAAAGGCAAAGGGCAGUGCUACUACUUACGGCUCUGGCAUUGUGCUGUCCGAUUCUGCACCUAGAAUCACCCCAAAGCAAAAUGAUCAAUAGCAAGGAAUCCAAACGUGAGCUCGCAUCCACCCACUCCCACACAGCAGGGUAUAAGUCACACUCUGUGCUUACCAAAGAGCCAGGGCUGAGGUGCUUUGACUGAGCUGCAGCUCAUGACUGGGAUAGAAGGGGGCUGCAGGCUGGGACUACGGCAUAUAUGUGAGGAGCCCAGGGCUGGGAUAGCAGAGGGCUGCAGGUCAGGACUGAGGCACAUGGACAGAGCUGGGUGUAUGGAAAGCCCAGGGCUAGCAGGGGGCUGUGGGUAGAGACUGAGGGGCACUGGCAGAGCUGGGGCAGGGGGGACCCCAGGGCUGGGACAGCAGGGGGCUGCAGAUCAGGACUGAGGUGCAUGUACAGAGCUGUGUGUGGGGAGUCCAGGGCUAGCAGGGGGCUGUGGAUCGGGAUUGUAUUGUACUGGCAGUUAUGCAAAGGUCCCUAAGCUGAAGUUACGUGCCUCCUGACAGCCCACCUUGUUUUCAUGGGCACCACCUGUGUUUCCAGCUGAGCUGCCACCUCCAAUGCCCCAGCCGGUCUCAGGGUCUGUAUUCGAGUUCUACACUCCAGGAACCCAACCAGGACUCCAGUGCUCAGCAAACCCCACUGGAGAGACCCUCGCCUGCAUCUCAGCAGGCCACAAACUUUUCAUUGGACGAGACCCUCACUGUGAACAGCACCAGAACUAGCCCUGCUCUAAACAGGACCCUCGUGCUUCCCAUGCGGGGCUGCACUGCUCCCCGCUGCCCUUCACCCCUCCUCACUGCCUGCGUGGAGAGAGCACCUUUGCCUGCCUUUCAACCUGACUGCAUGAUGGCUUUGUGUAGUCUCUUCCAGCGCAGCCACAUCAAAAGCCUUGCUCCGCUCGGGGGAGAUGGCUUCAAUCCUGCUUCAUACCGCUGGGGGAACUUUGCUACACUGAAGCUUUGAACCAAGGACCCAUACCAGCUGUGGAUGUUCUCCAGAGACUUGAUUUGAACCUGCAGCCUAUUCCAUCCCUGCUACAAGCCUGAACCAAGAACUUUGCCAUUACUGUGUGUCAUUGAUUCCAUUUAACCAGUUCUCGCUCUCAUCUCUAUCUUUUUCCUGUUAUGAA